UAGGGAAUCUUCCGCAAUGGACGCAAGUCUGACGGUGCAACGCCGCGUGAGUGAAGAAGGAUUUCGGUUCGUAAAACUCUGUUGUUAGAGAAGAACAGCGCAUAGAGUAACUGUUAUGCGUGUGACGGUAUCUAACCAGAAAGCCACGGCUAACUACGUGCCAGCAGCCGCGGUAAUACGUAGGUGGCAAGCGUUGUCCGGAUUUAUUGGGCGUAAAGCGAGCGCAGGCGGUCAAUUAAGUCUGAUGUGAAAGCCCCCGGCUCAACCGGGGAGGGUCAUUGGAAACUGGUUGACUUGAGUGCAGAAGAGGAGAGUGGAAUUCCAUGUGUAGCGGUGAAAUGCGUAGAUAUAUGGAGGAACACCAGUGGCGAAGGCGACUCUCUGGUCUGUAACUGACGCUGAGGCUCGAAAGCGUGGGUAGCAAACAGG
rnacentral:rRNA from 1 species